AGACCUUACCAAGGAGCACCACGCAGUAGAUGCUGAAACAUCACCCCCAGGAGAAGAAGCAGUAACAUGGCAGCCCCUGUUUGAAAGGAAUUAAAAAACAGCAGAGUCCCUUUAGAAAGAAACAAUGUCCAAGAAAGGGCGAAAUAAGGGCGAGAAGCCCGAAGCACUCAUUGUUGCCCUUCAAGCUGCCAAUGAAGACCUCAGAACCAAGCUCACAGACAUCCAGAUAGAGCUGCAUCAGGAGAAGUCCAAGGUGUCUAAGCUUGAGAGAGAGAAGACUCAAGAAGCAAAGAGGAUCCGUGAGCUGGAGCAGCGCAAGCACACAGUGCUGGUGACGGAGCUCAAAGCCAAGCUCCAUGAGGAGAAGAUGAAGGAGCUGCAGGCUGUGCGGGAGAAUCUCAUCAAGCAGCACGAGCAAGAAAUGUCAAGGACAGUGAAGCUGCGGGAUGGGGAGAUCCAGAGGCUCAAGUCGGCCCUGUGUGCCCUCCGGGAUGGCAGCAGUGACAAAGUACGGACAGCGCUCACCAUCGAGGCCCGGGAGGAGGCCCGGAAACUGUUUGACGCGGAGCGCCUUAAGCUCCUACAGGAAAUCGCGGACCUGAAAACUGCGAAGAAGCAGGUGGACGAGGCUCUCAGCAAUAUGAUCCAAGCGGAUAAAAUAAAGGCCGGAGACCUUCGCAGCGAGCAUCAGUCCCAUCAGGAAGCCAUCUCCAAGAUCAAGUGGGAGUCAGAGCGGGAUAUUCGGAGGCUGAUGGAUGAGAUUAAAGCCAAGGACAGGAUCAUCUUUUCCCUGGAAAAGGAACUGGAGACUCAAACUGGCUAUGUACAGAAACUCCAGCUGCAGAAGGAGGCUUUGGAUGAACAGCUCUUUCUGGUCAAGGAGGCCGAGUGCAACAUGAGCAGUCCGAAACGGGAAAUUCCGGGAAGAGCAGCGGAUGGCUCUGAGCACUGCGGCAGUCCUGAUUUGAGAAGAAAUCAAAAGAGAAUAGCUGAAUUGAAUGCCACUAUAAGAAAACUAGAAGACAGGAAUACCUUACUGGGAGAUGAACGAAAUGAACUGUUAAAACGUGUGCGGGAAACCGAAAAACAAUGUAAACCUCUUCUGGAAAGGAACAAGUGCCUCGCCAAGAGAAACGAUGAACUAAUGGUGUCUUUGCAGCGCAUGGAAGAGAAGCUAAAAGCCGUGACGAAGGAAAAUUCAGAAAUGAGAGAAAAAAUAACAUCCCAUCCACCCUUGAAGAAAUUAAAAUCACUAAAUGACCUCGAUCAAGCUAAUGAAGAACAAGAGACAGAGUUUUUAAAACUUCAAGUCAUUGAGCAGCAGAACAUCAUUGAUGAGCUCACAAGGGACCGAGAAAAGCUCAUCCGUAGGAGAAAACAUAGAAGAAGUUCCAAGCCAAUUAAGAGGCCUGUUUUGGACCCAUUUAUUGGCUAUGAUGAGGACUCCAUGGAUUCAGAGACAUCAUCUAUGGCCUCGUUUCGAACAGACCGAACACCAGCUACUCCUGAUGAUGACUUGGAUGAAAGUUUAGCAGCUGAAGAAUCAGAGCUACGGUUUCGACAAUUAACAAAAGAAUACCAGGCCCUCCAGAGAGCAUACGCCCUCCUACAGGAGCAGACUGGAGGCAUCAUCGAUGCUGAAAGAGAAGCCAAGGCGCAGGAACAGCUCCAAGCAGAGGUGCUAAGGUAUAAAGCCAAAAUUGAAGAUCUGGAAGCGACUCUGGCUCAGAAAGGGCAGGAUUCACACUGGGUAGAAGAUAAACAACUUUUCAUUAAGAGAAACCAGGAGCUUUUAGAAAAGAUAGAAAAACAGGAGGCAGAAAAUCACCGGUUACAACAAGAACUGCAGGAUGCCCGAGACCAGAAUGAGCUGCUGGAGUUUCGAAACCUAGAGCUAGAAGAAAGAGAGAGACGAUCCCCUCCAUUUAAUCUACAAAUUCACCCAUUCUCAGAUGGUGUGAGUGCUCUACAGAUCUACUGUAUGAAAGAAGGUGUCAAGGAUGUGAAAAUCCCUGAUCUCAUAAAGCAGCUUGAUAUCUUGGGUGAUAAUGGGAACUUAAGAAAUGAAGAACAAGUGGCCAUAAUUCAGGCCAGCACGGUGCUGUCCCUGGCAGAAAAGUGGAUCCAGCAAAUCGAAGGAGCAGAGGCUGCUCUGCACCAGAAAAUGAUGGAGUUGGAAAGUGACAUGGAACAGUUCUGCAAGAUAAAAGGCUAUCUGGAGGAAGAGUUAGACUACAGAAAACAAGCUCUCGACCAAGCAUAUAUGAGAAUCCAGGAACUAGAAGCUACUUUGUACAAUGCUCUGCAGCAAGAAACCGUUAUCAAGUUUGGUGAAUUAUUAAGUGAAAAACAGCAAGAAGAGCUGAGGACAGCGGUAGAAAAGUUACGACGGCAGAUGCUGAGGAAGAGCAGAGAGUAUGACUGUCAGAUUCUUCAGGAGCGAAUGGAGCUCUUACAGCAAGCCCACCAGAGAAUUCGUGACUUAGAAGAUAAAACAGACAUCCAGAAAAGACAGAUAAAAGACUUAGAAGAAAAGUUUCUGUUUCUAUUCUUGUUCUUCUCUCUUGCCUUUAUUCUAUGGCCUUGAUGUCAAGGUGCCUCUUAAAGUCUGAUUUCAUCACAACUCAGGAAAGCAGGCUUUUAAGUGAAAUUGGAUCGUCUUUGCAAAGUAACCGAAAACACGGAUAAGACUCCAGAAAGGCAAAUGCUACUAAACCUUCAAAGAUGGCAGAAAUGUUUACAACAGUGAGAGGGAGAUCAAAAGCUAAGAACUACCCUGUAGCCAGGACUACAACUGUGUAUUUUAAAGCCAUUAUUCAAGGUUUCUUACUUGACAGUUCCUACAUGACCCUGUUGAAAAUCUACAAUAUAUGCUGCAUUUAAUGAAACAUGUAUAUGUCAAACCAGAAGAGAAGAACUAUAAACAUAUAUUGUGUAAAGAAAAAAAAAAUCAGCAAUGGAAACAGUUUCAACAGAUCAAGGAAAGAUGUGUCUUGGGCAUGGAACCAAAGUUACAAAGAAACAUUCUACCCCUGCUGUGCAGGGGGAUCAUUUUAAUGUAACACCACACCCCAUGGAAACACUAGUCCCAAAAUAAACAUUUUAAAAAAUCAAAACAAGCAAACAAAAUAAAAAAAAAACAAACAAAAAAACAAGGGGGGGGUGGGGAAUGAAGCACGAGGAAUACCUAUGAGGAGCUAUUUACAAUAAAAUGUUUCAUUUGAAAAGUCUGGUUUCUUACUACAGGGAUUUGCUUUUUGUCUUUAUUGUUGUUUAAAACUCAGGAACAGAGACAUCUGCAGUGUGAAUGGGAAGAAAAGCAGUCUCCCGUUUGUCUUUCUGCAAAAGGUGAAGCUUGUGGAAUGCACUCCACAGAUGACAGAGGAUCACGGUGAGCCCCGACUAAACCGGCCACGUGGCGAGGCAGAGGACCUUGGCGAAUGUAACAUAAGAAAUAAAAGCAGAUUUGAUGCUU